rnacentral:misc_RNA from 1 species
GAUGAAGAACGCAGCGAAAUGCGAUAAGUAAUGUGAAUUGCAUAAUUCAGUGAAUCAUCGAAUCUUUGAACGCACAUUGCGCCCGCCAGUAUUCUGGCGGGCAUGCCUGUUCGAGCGUCAUUUCAACCCUCAGGCCCCCAGUGCCUGGUGUUGGGGAUCGGCCCAGCCUUCCUGUAAGGCCGCCGGCCCCGAAAUCUAGUGGCGGUCUCGCUGUAGUCCUCCUCUGCGUAGUAGCACAACCUCGCAGUUGGAACGCGGCGGUGGCCAUGCCGUUAAACACCCCACUUCUGAAAGUUGACCUCGGAUCAGGUAGGAAUACCCGCUGAACUUAAGCAUAUCAAUAAGCGGAGGA